rnacentral:rRNA from 1 species
CACGUAGGGGGCGAGCGUUGUCCGGAAUCAUUGGGCGUAAAGAGCUCGUAGGCGGCUCAGUAAGUCGGGUGUGAAACCCCCAGGCUCAACCUGGGGACGCCACCCGAUACUGCUGUGACUAGAGUCCGGUAGGGGAGCGUGGAAUUCCUGGUGUAGCGGUGAAAUGCGCAGAUAUCAGGAGGAACACCAGCGGCGAAGGCGGCGCUCUGGGCCGGUACUGACACUGAGGAGCGAAAGCGUGGGUAGCAAACAGG